rnacentral:rRNA from 1 species
CUACGUAGGGGGCGAGCGUUGUCCGGAAUGAUUGGGCGUAAAGGGCGCGUAGGCGGCCCGGUAAGUCUGGAGUGAAAGUCCUGCUUUUAAGGUGGGAAUUGCUUUGGAUACUGUCGGGCUUGAGUGCAGGAGAGGUAAGUGGAAUUCCCAGUGUAGCGGUGAAAUGCGUAGAGAUUGGGAGGAACACCAGUGACGAAGGCGACUUACUGGACUGUAACUGACGCUGAGGCGCGAAAGUGUGGGGAGCAAACAGGAUUAGAUACCCUGGUAGUCCACACUGUAAACGAUGAAUGCUAGGUGUAGGGGGUAUCGACCCCUUCUGUGCCGCAGUUAACACAAUAAGCAUUCCGCCUGGGGAGUACGGCCGAAAGGUUGAAACUCAAAGGAAUUGACGGG